rnacentral:tRNA from 1 species
GGAUGCUUGCCGGAGUCAGGUUCAACGGCGCUGCCUCGAAAGCAGACGGUCGACGCGAGUCGGCACCAAGGUUCAAAUCCUUGAGCAUCCGCCA